CAAGCGGCUGCGCAGAGCCUGCAAGUCCAGAAGGGGCUGCACCCUCACGGCCGUUCGCUGGGUUCGCCAGACCCGGUGUUAGUGUCGGUUUGAAUCACCGCAGCCACCCUCCCGUGGUGUCACCGUAGGCCCCACAGGGGCUGACAGAUUGGAGGACGUGUGAGUGGGGCGCGGCUCGCGGGGCGGGGCACACAGGCGGAGAUGGAGAGCGGGUACUUACCCAGAGCGCAGGGGCCCUGUGGUCUCACGCCGACUUUCACGCACUGCACACCGCAGCCCCACGGCGACUGGGUAAAGCCUGUCUUUCCAUCUCACCCAGGUUUCGACACCUCAGAACCAGACCACUGCCUUUCUCAUCAUCUGCUCAAGAGACACGGUUGACCGAGACUUCGGACUCGGGCAGGGCGCCUUAGCUCACUCAGCAGGUGACGUAGCCCCCUAUUUGGAGCCGUCUUCUCCCUUUGUCCAGCUGCCUCUAAGGAUGCGUCUGGAGGGACUUCAACUCACUGUCCGGGACUGAACAUCUCCCGUCUCCCACGGCACCGGGCACACGCUGGGCUCUUCCUGCUGACCUCAGGGGAGCUGGGUUCAGAUGGCAGGAAAACGAACCUGGCUUUGCCACGCUCCAGUUCACCUGCCUCCUUGCACACCUGAGUUCAGGAGCCUCGUCCCUCCACCAGAGGGCGUGGCAGCAUGGAUGCCAGCCGCACCUGGGCUCUGCCAGGUGUUCCGACCGCAGCCCUUUGGAAGGUUCUGUCCCGCGUCCCCUCGCUGACGGACCCCAGGGCCGGGUGACAUGCCCGCCCACCGCAGACUCAGCAGACGGGCUGAAUGGAGGAAGGUCAUUCCCAUGGCGCGUCCCCGAGACCCGACUCCUGGUGGAGACCCUGCCAGCAGCACGGCCCCCAGCUCUGACGCCGGAAGAGCUUGGGGUCGCUCCCAUUCUCACCACGAGAACAAUCCUGAGCCACCUGAGGACUGACGGCUUUUCUUGGUCACAUCAGAGGACCGGGGUCAGAGGGCACAGCAUCCGAAGGUCACGAGUGAGAUCCGCUGCCUCGCACCCUGCUUCCAGAAGCGGCCGCAUCGAAGAUCCCGGCAAGGGACAAUGGACCGAAGAGACAUGGCGAGAGAACGGAUGGAAAGGCAGGCAGCACUGA
rnacentral:lncRNA from 9 species